rnacentral:rRNA from 1 species
CGGGGUGAGUAACGCGUGAGCAAUCUGCCCAUAUCAGGGGAAUAACAGUUAGAAAUGACUGCUAAUACCGCAUAGGACCACGGGGAGGCAUCUCUCUGAGGUGAAAGAUUUAUCGGAUAUGGAUGAGCUCGCGUCCCAUUAGGUAGUUGGUGAGGUAACGGCCCACCAAGCCGACGAUGGGUAGCCGGCCUUAGAGGGUGAUCGGCCACAUUGGAACUGAGACACGGUCCAAACUCCUACGGAAGGCAGCAG